UACGUAGGGUCCGAGCGUUGUCCGGAAUUACUGGGCGUAAAGAGCUCGUAGGUGGUUUGUCGCGUUGUUCGUGAAAACUCACAGCUUAACUGUGGGCGUGCGGGCGAUACGGGCAGACUAGAGUACUGCAGGGGAGACUGGAAUUCCUGGUGUAGCGGUGGAAUGCGCAGAUAUCAGGAGGAACACCGGUGGCGAAGGCGGGUCUCUGGGCAGUAACUGACGCUGGGGAGCGAAAGCGUGGGGAGCAAACAGG
rnacentral:rRNA from 1 species